UAACCUCGGAUCAGGUAGGAAUACCCGCUGAACUUAAGCUAUC
rnacentral:rRNA from 1 species